rnacentral:rRNA from 1 species
GGGUUGUGAGGUUAAGCGACUAAGCGUACACGGUGGAUGCCUAGGCAAUCAGAGGCGAUGAAGGACGUGCUAAUCUGCGAUAAGCGUCGGUAAGGUGAUAUGAACCGUUACAACCGACGAUUUCCGAAUGGGGAAACCCAGUGCAAUUCGUUGCACUAUCGUUUGAUGAAUACAUAGUCAAACGAAGCGAACCGGGGGAACUGAAACAUCUCAGUACCCCGAGGAAAAGAAAUCAACCGAGAUUCCCCUAGUAGCGGCGAGCGAACGGGGAGCAGCCCAGAGUCUUAAUCAGCAUUAGCAUCAGGAGAACGGUCUGGAAAGUCCGGCAGUAAAGGGUGAUAGCCCCGUAUCCGAAGGUGUUAGUGUUGUGAACUCGACGAGUAGGGCGGGACACGUGUUAUCCUGUCUGAAUAUGGGGGGACCAUCCUCCAAGGCUAAAUACUCCUGAUUGACCGAUAGUGAACCAGUACCGUGAGGGAAAGGCGAAAAGAACCCCGGCGAGGGGAGUGAAAUAGAACCUGAAACCGUGUACGUACAAGCAGUGGGAGCCCCACCACCAAAGCAUUUUCUGGUGUUGAGGACAACUUUGAAGUGGCAUUCAACACGCGUUGACGGAGCGCUUUUUGCGACGUCCAACACACAAACAAGCAGUGAAUGUGCUUUGGGGUGGGGUGACUGCGUACCUUUUGUAUAAUGGGUCAGCGACUUAUAUUCUGUAGCAAGGUUAACCGUAUAGGGGAGCCGUAGGGAAACCGAGUCUUAACUGGGCGAAUGAGUUGCAGGGUAUAGACCCGAAACCCGGUGAUCUAGCCAUGGGCAGGUUGAAGGUUGGGUAACACUAACUGGAGGACCGAACCGACUAAUGUUGAAAAAUUAGCGGAUGACUUGUGGCUGGGGGUGAAAGGCCAAUCAAACCGGGAGAUAGCUGGUUCUCCCCGAAAGCUAUUUAGGUAGCGCCUCGUGAACUCAUCUUCGGGGGUAGAGCACUGUUUCGACUAGGGGGUCAUCCCGACUUACCAACUCGAUGCAAACUACGAAUACCGAAGAAUGUUAUCACGGGAGACACACGGCGGGUGCUAACGUUCGUCGUGAAGAGGGAAACAACCCAGACCGCCAGCUAAGGUCCCAAAGUCAUAGUUAAGUGGGAAACGAAGUGGGAAGGCUCAGACAGCCAGGAUGUUGGCUUAGAAGCAGCCAUCAUUUAAAGAAAGCGUAAUAGCUCACUGGUCGAGUCGGCCUGCGCGGAAGAUGUAACGGGGCUAAACUAUGCACCGAAGCUGCGGCAGCGAACGUAUCACUUAAACUGAUUAAGUGAUACUCAGAUGUAUCAAAACGAUUGACGGAGCGAAGCGACGUCAAUGCGUCCAACAAAGUCGAGGCGGAAACGUCAGGCAGUCAGUUUAAGGAUACGUUCGUUGGGUAGGGGAGCGUUCUGUAAGCCUGUGAAGGUGUACUGUGAGGUAUGCUGGAGGUAUCAGAAGUGCGAAUGCUGACAUAAGUAACGAUAAUGCGGGUGAAAAACCCGCACGCCGGAAGACCAAGGGUUCCUGUCCAACGUUAAUCGGGGCAGGGUGAGUCGACCCCUAAGGCGAGGCAGAAAUGCGUAGUCGAUGGGAAACGGGUUAAUAUUCCCGUACUGGUGAUAAUUGCGAUGGGGGGACGGAGAAGGCUAGGCUAUCCGGGCGACGGUUGUCCCGGUUUAAGAAUGUAGGCAGGUGAAUUAGGCAAAUCCGGUUCACUACAUGCUGAGGUUCGAUGACGAGUCACUACGGUGAUGAAGUAGCUCAUGCCCCGCUUCCAGGAAAAGCCUCUAAGCUCUAGAUUAUCAUUAAUCGUACCCCAAACCGACACAGGUGGUCAGGUAGAGAAUACUCAGGCGCUUGAGAGAACUCGGGUGAAGGAACUAGGCAAAAUGGUGCCGUAACUUCGGGAGAAGGCACGCUGGCGCUAGGUGAAGUCCCUCGCGGAUGGAGCUGAAGCCAGUCGCAGAUACCAGCUGGCUGCAACUGUUUAUUAAAAACACAGCACUGUGCAAACACGAAAGUGGACGUAUACGGUGUGACGCCUGCCCGGUGCUGGAAGGUUAAUUGAUGGGGUUAUCCGUAAGGAGAAGCUCUUGAUCGAAGCCCCAGUAAACGGCGGCCGUAACUAUAACGGUCCUAAGGUAGCGAAAUUCCUUGUCGGGUAAGUUCCGACCUGCACGAAUGGCGUAAUGAUGGCCAGGCUGUCUCCACCCGAGACUCAGUGAAAUUGAACUCGCUGUGAAGAUGCAGUGUACCCGCGGCAAGACGGAAAGACCCCGUGAACCUUUACUAUAGCUUGACACUGAACAUUGAGCCUUGAUGUGUAGGAUAGGUGGGAGGCUUCGAAGCGUGGACGCCAGUCUGCGUGGAGCCAACCUUGAAAUACCACCCUUUAAUGUUUGAUGUUCUAACGUUGCCCCAUUAUCUGGGGUGCGGACAGUGUCUGGUGGGUAGUUUGACUGGGGCGGUCUCCUCCCAAAGAGUAACGGAGGAGCACGAAGGUUGGCUAAGCAUGGUCGGACAUCAUGCGGUUAGUGCAAAGGCAUAAGCCAGCUUGACUGCGAGAGUGACGGCUCGAGCAGGUACGAAAGUAGGUCUUAGUGAUCCGGUGGUUCUGAAUGGAAGGGCCAUCGCUCAACGGAUAAAAGGUACUCCGGGGAUAACAGGCUGAUACCGCCCAAGAGUUCAUAUCGACGGCGGUGUUUGGCACCUCGAUGUCGGCUCAUCACAUCCUGGGGCUGAAGUAGGUCCCAAGGGUACGGCUGUUCGCCGUUUAAAGUGGUACGCGAGCUGGGUUUAGAACGUCGUGAGACAGUUCGGUCCCUAUCUGCCGUGGGCGUUGGAAGAUUGAAAGGGGCUGCUCCUAGUACGAGAGGACCGGAGUGGACGCACCACUGGUGUUCGGGUUGUCAUGCCAAUGGCAUUGCCCGGUAGCUAAGUGCGGAAGAGAUAACCGCUGAAAGCAUCUAAGCGGGAAACUUGCCUUGAGAUGAGUCUUCCCUGACCCUUUAAGGGUCCUAAAGGAACGUUUAAGACUAAGACGUUGAUAGGUUGGGUGUGUAAGCAUAGCGAUAUGUUGAGCUAACCAAUACUAAUGAACCGUGAGGCUUAACCUGACAACACCGAAGGUGUUUUAG